GCCACGGUGGUUUAGCGGUUAGAACGCUGGCCUUGUAAUCCUGGGGUCUCGGGUUCGAUUCCCGACGGUGCCC
rnacentral:tRNA from 1 species